rnacentral:rRNA from 1 species
UGUGAUGGGGAGCGAAAUUUAGUAGCGAAGUAGCUGAUUUCACACUGUCAAGAAAAGUCUCUAUCGAGGUUAAAGGUACCCGUACCGCAAACCGACACAGGGGGGUGAGGAGAGUAUCCUAAGGCCAGCGAGAGAACUGUUGUUAAGGAACUCGGCAAAAUGACCCCGUAACUUAGGGAUAAGGGGUGCCACCAUCAGGUGGCCGCAGAGAAUAGGCCCAAGCGACUGUUUACCAAAAACAUAGGUUUCUGCU